UACGGGGGGAGCAAGCGUUGUUCGGAUUUACUGGGCGUAAAGGGCGGGUAGGCGGCCACCGCAAGUCAGUUGUGAAAUCUCUGGGCUUAACCCAGAAAGGUCAACUGAUACUGCGGGGCUAGAGUGCAGAAGGGGCAACUGGAAUUCUCGGUGUAGCGGUGAAAUGCGUAGAUAUCGAGAGGAACACCUGCGGCGAAGGCGGGCUGCUGGGCUGACACUGACGCUGAACUGCGAAAGCUAGGGGAGCGAACGGG
rnacentral:rRNA from 1 species